rnacentral:rRNA from 1 species
AUUGAACGCUGGCGGCAUGCCUUACACAUGCAAGUCGAACGGCAGCACGGGGCAACCUGGUGGCGAGUGGCGAACGGGUGAGUAAUGCAUCGGAACGUGCCAUUGAGUGGGGGAUAACGUAGCGAAAGUUGCGCUAAUACCGCAUAUUCUGUGAGCAGGAAAGCAGGGGACCGCAAGGCCUUGCGCUCUUUGAGCGGCCGAUGUCGGAUUAGCUAGUUGGUGAGGUAAAGGCUUACCAAGGCGACGAUCUGUAGCGGGUCUGAGAGGAUGAUCCGCCACACUGGAACUGAGACACGGUCCAGACUCCUACGGGAGGCAGCAGUGGGGAAUUUUGGACAAUGGGCGCAAGCCUGAUCCAGCCAUGCCGCGUGAGUGAAGAAGGCC